rnacentral:rRNA from 1 species
AUGCGUGCGGCUGUUCUGAAAAUCCCCCUUUCUGCUGGGCCUGACCAGAUUGGUUGGGCACCUGGACCUAACCGUAGAUUCUCUACGAAAUCUAUGUAUAAGAUGCUUGAGAACAACUUAGCAGGUUGCGAUUUCCGAUGGAUCUGGAAGUCCAAAAUCCCCCUUAAAAUUAAAAUUUUCCUAUGGCAGCUGUUCCAGGAUGCUAUUCUGACUAGAGAUGUCAUGAAACGACGAAAGUGGCCAGGCAAUGCUAAGUGUUCCUUUUGUGCCGAACGGGAGACUUCCCAACAUCUUUUUUUCCUGUGCCCGGUGUCAAAAAUUAUUUGGCGCUCAGUUGGGGCGGUCCUGGGCACCGAUUUGUGCCCCAACAACCUUUGGCAAUAUUGUUCCUGGUGCUAUAUCUUUCUUCCUGAUGGUGCUAGGUUUUAUACUUUUGGGCUGGCAGCAGUCUGCUGGGCUAUCUGGAAUAGUCGCAACCAGGCUACCUUUGAGUUUAAACUGCCUAAAACUCCUUUUGAGAUCGUUUUCUCCGCAUGUGUUUUAUAUUUAUGCUGA